UACGUAGGGUGCGAGCGUUAAUCGGAAUUACUGGGCGUAAAGCGUGCGCAGGCGGUUGGUUAAGUCUGAUGUGAAAGCCCCGAGCUCAACUUGGGAAUGGCAUUGGAAACUGGCUGGCUAGAGUGUGGCAGAGGGGGGUGGAAUUCCGCGUGUAGCAGUGAAAUGCGUAGAGAUGCGGAGGAACACCGAUGGCGAAGGCAGCCCCCUGGGCUGACACUGACGCUCAGGCACGAAAGCUGGGGGAGCAAACAGG
rnacentral:rRNA from 1 species